UACGGAGGGUGCAAGCGUUGUCCGGAUUUAUUGGGUUUAAAGGGUGCGUAGGCGGCCCAUUAAGUCAGGGGUGAAAUACCGCGGCUCAACCGCGGGGCUGCCCCUGAUACUGUUGGGCUUGGGGCCACGGCGGGCAGGCGGAAUUUGCGAUGUAGCGGUGAAAUGCAUAGAUAUCGCAAGGAAUGCCGGAGGCGAAGGCGGCCUGCUUCCGUGGAUCCGACGCUGAGGCACGAAAGCGCGGGGAUCGAACAGG
rnacentral:rRNA from 1 species